GCUCCCUUAGCUCAGUUGGUAGAGCGUCGCCAUGGUAAGGCGAAGGUCGACAGUUCGAUCCUGUCAGGGAGCU
rnacentral:tRNA from 1 species